UCGACACAUUCCUUCACCAGAAAACGCGAGAACGGGACCCAAGCCGCAAACGCAGCCCGUUAGAUUCUCGCGAUACUUUUCCAACUCCCCCUUUUGGGGGGCUUUAUAGGAGCGGAAGUUGCGGAGAUUACCUUUAAAAUUUAAACCUAAAUGAGUAAACAAGCCAAGCUGCUGACAAGGAAGGCUCUGAAGAGUGGUAAGCUGCAGAGACUCUGAGCUGGAAGAAACAGAGACCAGCUUAGCUGCCUGGAAGAGGGUUAGACCAACCGAGGCUCCUGCAAAGGACACUCUCAAAUGUGUUGAGAUGCCCACAGGCUGUGCCGUGUGCUUCAGGUUCCCAUGCUGGGUGGGGCCUUGGUCAUGCAGCUGUCUUUGAGUCAUUU
rnacentral:lncRNA from 1 species